rnacentral:misc_RNA from 1 species
GCCAACGUUUCUAAUAUUUCAAACAUAAGCAUUCUUCUCUCCUCAAUCGUCUAAGCUUCCUGGACCACAAAACAAAUUGGAAAUUUGCAAGGACCCAAAACAGUUAGAUUUUCGUGAAGUCAUUAGAAAAAUCUGGCAAACUGAUAUUUAAUUUAAGAUACUGUACUGAUUUUUAAAUAAACAAGUCAUGUAUGAAGUUAGAUUUUGCCUGUUGGGAACCCAGUGAAUUCCCCUCAUGAUGACACUUAAGUUGUUACUUCCAUAUGGUUGAGAAAGUCAAGAAGAAUGUAGUAGCAUGUGAAGAUCUAACAUGUACUUGAAACGUUCACUGGUGGUUGAUUUAGUCCCAUUUCAAUGGUUUUGAUUUGGGAUUGGGUCAUUUUUCCUUAUGUUCAACUAAUUUAAUCUACUAUCUAUAAUUUUUCAGGGAGGGAAGAUCCUAACAGG